rfam:Rhodoferax fermentans strain JCM 7819 contig02, whole genome shotgun sequence.
UUCCGCGCGUCAGGAGAGAGCCGCCCAAGCCAACAGGUUUCAGGGCAGCCGCCGAAGGCGCAGAACCGCUGAUUGCAGUCGUUUGAACGCUCAGGCAAAAGGACUGACAAACGUCA